CGACUCUCGACAACGGAUAUCUCGGCUCUCGCAUCGAUGAAGAACGUAGCGAAAUGCGAUACUUGGUGUGAAUUGCAGAAUCCCGUGAACCAUCGAGUCUUUGAACGCAAGUUGCGCCCGAAGCCAACAGGCCGAGGGCACGUCUGCCUGGGUGUCACGCAAUCGCUUGCCC
rnacentral:rRNA from 1 species